UGAUGCCGUGGUGCAUAUAUAUGCGGUGGUU
rnacentral:piRNA from 1 species